GUGGGGAAUAUUGCGCAAUGGGCGAAAGCCUGACGCAGCCACGCCGCGUGAGCGAUGAAGGCCUUCGGGUCGUAAAGCUCUGUGGGGAGAGACGAAGAAAGCCUGUGAAGAGCAGGCCUUGACGGUAUCUCCUUAGCAAGCACCGGCUAACUCCGUGCCAGCAGCCGCGGUAAUACGGAGGGUGCAAACGUUGCUCGGAAUCAUUGGGCGUAAAGCGCACGUAGGCGGCGAAGCAAGUUGGGUGUGAAAGCCCUGGGCUCAACCCAGGAAGUGCAUUCAAAACUGCUUCGCUUGAAUCUCGGAGGGGGUCAGAGAAUUCCCGGUGUAGAGGUGAAAUUCGUAGAUAUCGGGAGGAAUACCAGUGGCGAAGGCGCUGACCUGGACGAAGAUUGACGCUGAGGUGCGAAAGCGCGGGGAGCAAACAGGAUUAGAAACCCCGGUAGUCC
rnacentral:rRNA from 1 species